AAUCGAUCAUGCGUGCUGAUGCGUGCACGAUGAUGCGUGCAUGUUAAUGCUUCCGUGUGUGCGUACGUGUGUGACUCGAGCGGCGAGCUGCCAAAAGAAGAAGAAGACACGAGCUACGAGAGCCACGAGGCUGACGAGACAAAAGGAAGUCGCGUUGUUGUGCCGGUCGUUCCAGUCGAGUGUUGAUCGCGCGGACAGAGGAAAUAACGGAAUAAAAAAUUUUGCCGAGAUCAACGCACUUAUGAAACGGGGCGAAAAAAACGUAGAAGAUUUAACAAACAAUAUAAUGACCAAAGUUUUUACGAACGAGUUGGCAUCCAAUUUUAGUAUGCAGGGUAAACAAAAAAAAAA